CGAGGCGUUUACCAGAACACGUCCGACGUGAGGAUGAAAGCUGGGGGAGCAAACCGGAUUAGAUACCCGGGUAGUCCCAGCUGUAAACUAUGCAAACUCGGUGAUGCAUUGGCUUGAUGCUAAUGCAGUGCCGCAGGGAAGCCGUUAAGUUUGCCGCCUGGGAAGUACGUACGCAAGUAUGAAACUUAAAGGAAUUGGCGGGGGAGCACCACAAGGGGUGAAGCCUGUGGUUCAAUUGGAGUCAACGCCAGAAAUCUUACCCGGAGAGACAGCAGAAUGAAGGUCAAGCUGAAGACUUUACCAGACAAGCUGAGAGGUGGUGCAUGGCCGUCGCCAGCUCGUGCCGUGAGAUGUCCUGUUAAGUCAGGUAACGAGCGAGAUCCCUGCCUCUAGUUGCCACCAUUACUCUCAGGAGUAGCGGGGCGAAUUAGCGGGACCGCCGUAGUUAAUACGGAGGAAGGAAGGGGCCACGGCAGGUCAGUAUGCCCCGAAACUCUGGGGCCACACGCGGGCUGCAAUGGUAACGACAAUGUGUUCCAAAUCCGAAAGGAGGAGGUAACCCAGAAACGUUACCACAGUUAUGACUGAGGGCUGCAACUCGCCCUCACGAAUAUGGAAUCCCUAGUAACUGCGUGUCAUUAUCGCGCGGUGAAUACGUCCCUGCUCCUUGCACACACCGCCCGUCGUUUCAUUGAAGUUUGCUUUUAGCGAGGUGACGUCUGAUUGGCGUUAUCGAACUUGA
rnacentral:rRNA from 1 species